GGAUUAUGUGGUUUAAUUCGAUGCAACGCGAAGAACCUUACCAGGGUUUGACAUGCCUAGAAUUUUCUAGAAAUGGGAAAGUGCCAGAAAUGGAACUAGGACACAGGUGGUGCAUGGCUGUCGUCAGCUCGUGCGUUGACGUGUAUGGUUAAGUCCUGCAACGAGCGCAACCCUCGUCUUUAGUUAAAUACUCUAAAGAGACUGCCAGUGUAAACUGGAGGAAGGUGAGGAUGAUGUCAAGUCAGCAUGCCCCUUACACCCUGGGCUACACACGUAAUACAAUGGUUGGGACAAUCAGAAGCGACCCUGCGAAGGCAAGCAAAUCUGCUAAACUCAACCUCAGUUCGGAUUGCAGGCUGCAACUCGCCUGCAUGAAGCCGGAAUCUCUAGUAAUCGCCGGUCAGCUACACGGCGGUGAAUACGUUCCCGAAAUUUGUACACAC
rnacentral:rRNA from 1 species